GACCUCCUGACCCCGCUUUUCUGUCUCCUAUUUUUCCUGUGUACCCCCCACUCAGGUUUUGAAUCCUCUUGCUGGCCGAGAGUUCCUGCCAGACAAGGCUACACUGAAGGGUGU